CCUACGGGUGGCAGCAGUGAGGAAUAUUGGUCAAUGGACGAGAGUCUGAACCAGCCAAGUAGCGUGAAGGAUGACUGCCCUAUGGGUUGUAAACUUCCUUUAUAUGGGAAUAAAAUGUUCCACGUGUGGGAUUUUGUAUGUACCAUAUGAAUAAGGAUCGGCUAACUCCGUGCCAGCAGCCGCGGUAAUACGGAGGAUACGAGCGUUAUCCGGAUUUAUUGGGUUUAAAGGGAGCGUAGGUGGAUUGUUAAGUCAGUUGUGAAAGUUUGCGGCUCAACCGUAAAAUUGCAGUUGAAACUGGCAGUCUUGAGUACAGUAGAGGUGGGCGGAAUUCGUGGUGUAGCGGUGAAAUGCUUAGAUAUCACGAAGAACUCCGAUUGCGAAGGCAGUUCACUGGACUGCAACUGACACUGAGGCUCGAAAGUGUGGGUAUCAAACAGGAUUAGAUACCCGAGUAGUC
rnacentral:rRNA from 1 species